rnacentral:rRNA from 1 species
UGAAUAAGGGGUUGCUAAACUCGUGCCAGCAGCAGCGGUAAUACGAGUGCCCCAAGCGUUAUCCGGAAUCACUGGGCGUAAAGCGUGUGUAGGUGGUUGUAUUAGUCUCUCGUUAAAUUCUUCGGCUUAACCGGGGGCAUGCGGGAGAAACGGUACAACUAGAGGAUGCAAGGGGUCUACGGAACUCAUGGAGUAGGGGUGAAAUCCGUUGAUAUCAUGGGGAACACCAAAAGCGAAGGCAGUAGACUGGUGCACUCCUGACACUGAAACACGAAAGCGUAGGUAGCGAAUGGGAUUAGAUACCCCAGUAGUCUACGCCCUAAACGAUCUUCUCUAGCUUUUCGGAGUAUCGACCCUCUGAGAGGCGAAGCUAACGCGUUAAGAGAAGCGCCUGGGUAGUACGGCCGCAAGGCUAAAACUCAAAGGAAUAGACGGGGACUUGCACAAGCGGUGGAGCGUGUGGCUUAAUUCGUCGCUAACCGAAGAACCUUACCAAGGCUAGAAAUGCUACUGCACGCCCAGCGAAAGCUGGGAAGCCUUCGAGGGUGUAGCACAGGUGAUGCACGGCUGUCGUCAGUUCGUGGUUUGAAUCGUUCCCUUCAGUGGGGUAACGAACGCAACCCUCGUUGCCUGUUAUAUUUGUCAGGCGAGACUGCCCCCUCACGGGGGAGGAAGGUGAGGAUGACGCCAAGUCAGCGUGUCCCUCUGAUGUCUUGGGCUGCACACGCGCUACAAUCGCCGUUACAAAGGGGCGCAAUGGGGUAACCCGGAGCAAAUCCCAAAAAGCGGCGUCAGUUCGGAUUGAGGUCUGCAACCCGACCUCAUGAAGCUGGAAUCGCUAGUAAUCGUGGGUCAGCCACACCACGGUGAAUACGUUCUCGAGUCUUGUACUCACCGCCCGUCAACUCAAGGAAGUUGGAGGUACCCGAUAUUAUGCUUUUUGCAGGACUACGGUAAAUUCAAUGACAGGGAGUAAGUCGUAACAAGGCACGGGUAGCGGAAGCUGCUCGUG